UAGGCUAUCACUGAUAGCUUAACGCACUCGGUAUGUAUCUUACAAAGACAAGGAUAAAACUUAGGGCUUUAAUAAAAACCUAAAUACCUACCUAGGAAAUAAACACUCUCUUUACGUGUAGACUCAUAAUCAGACAGUCAUUGUAUUUUAAUAUCACGCCAUUUUUUGCAAAUUCUUUUUCUAGAAGUUUUAUUGUAAAAAAAAACAUAUAUUCUCUUUUUUUUUUUACAAUAAAACUUCUAGUCCUUAAAUGAAGAAUAAUAUGUAGUAUGAAUUCUGGGAUAAGUCAAAUGAGUAUUUAAUCAUUGCAGGAGGGCGAUACCGAUUAUAUUGAUAUUCAAGUCUCACACAAUUUCCGUCAAACUCAGGGAUUUCUUCCACGUCAUCAAUCAAAACAGUUCAAAGUAUUUAAUUUAGAAUAAUAUAAUGUUUCAAAUGGAAGCCACCAACAGCACUUCGUCAUAAAGGCCUAAAAAGUGUCAUUUAAUAUUUAAUCGAAAGUCAAUAAAUAUAUUUGUUUAUAUG
rnacentral:lncRNA from 1 species